rnacentral:siRNA from 1 species
GGGGUGGUGAGGUUGUGAAUUCG